GCAGCCGCAGCAGCAGCAGCCAUGAUGCGAAUACCUGUAUCGGGGCAAGGUUUUUCUUUCUGUCUGUGUGUGUGAUGAUGAUGAUGAUGAUGUUUGGACCGAACGAAAGGAUUGGCUUCCACUCCCAACACAA